rnacentral:rRNA from 1 species
CAGCCGCCGCGGGAAUACGUAGGUGGCAAGCGUUGUCCGGAAUUAUUGGGCGUAAAGCGCGCGCAGGCGGAUAGGUCAGUCUGUCUUAAAAGUUCGGGGCUUAACCCCGUGAUGGGAUGGAAACUGCCAAUCUAGAGUAUCGGAGAGGAAAGUGGAAUUCCUAGUGUAGCGGUGAAAUGCGUAGAUAUUAGGAAGAACACCAGUGGCGAAGGCGACUUUCUGGACGAAAACUGACGCUGAGGCGCGGAAGCCAGGGGAGCGAACGGGAUUAGAUACCCCAGUAGUCCCUGUCUCUUAUACA